rnacentral:lncRNA from 1 species
UUUUCGUUAGCUCUCAGGUAGCCUUCAGAGGGCUGUGUACCGGUACGGGGUGAUGGCUGUACCGGUACAGCCAUCAACAUUGGCUGCUUCUCAGCCAACCCGAGGCUCGGGUUUGGCGUUUUCGUAGGAAGUGUACCGGUACGCGGGCCCGUGUACCGGUACGCAGUGACAGAUUCUGAAUGGACGAAACUGCAGGGGUGUUUUUGCAAUGUGGCUUCUCUAUAACACCACCCACGCCCCUAGGGCUGCUCUUUGAGCUUGCCACAGCAGGGAGAAGGUAAGGGGAGCUUCUCCAUGCUUCUCUUUGGUUUUGAUCUCAUUUUUAGCUUGGAAUUAAGGGUUUAAUCUCUCUUUUUUCCCGUUUGGUGCAACUCC